CCUACGGGGUGCAGCAGUGGGGAAUAUUGCACAAUGGGGGAAACCCUGAUGCAGCGACGCCGCGUGAGUGAAGAAGUAAUUCGUUACGUAAAGCUCUAUCAGCAGGGAAGAAACACUGACCUUACGGUCAGCAGACGGUACCUGAGUAAGAAGCCACGGCUAACUACGUGCCAGCAGCCGCGGUAAUACGUAGGGGGCAAGCGUUAUCCGGAUUUACUGGGUGUAAAGGGAGCGUAGACGGUGCGCCAAGUCUGGAGGGAAAUGCCGCAGCUUAACUGCGGAACUGCUUUGGAAACUGGCGAACUAGAGUGCGGGAGGGGUAAGCGGAAUUCCUAGUGUAGCGGUGAAAUGCGUAGAUAUUAGGAGGAACACCGGUGGCGAAGGCGGCUUACUGGACCGUAACUGACGUUGAGGCUCGAAAGCGUGGGGAGCAAACAGGAUUAGAUACCCUAGUAGUC
rnacentral:rRNA from 1 species